AAAACUUUCAACAACGGAUCUCUUGGUUCUCGCAUCGAUGAAGAACGCAGCGAAAUGCGAUACGUAAUGUGAAUUGCAGAUUCCGUGAAUCAUCGAGUCUUUGAACGCACAUUGCGCCCUCUGGCAUUCCGGAGGGCAUGCCUGUUUGAGCGUCAUUU
rnacentral:rRNA from 1 species